rnacentral:rRNA from 2 species
GGGCCGCAGAUAAGUGCUAGUGUUAGGGGGUUUCCGCCCCUUAGUGCUGCAGCUAACGCAUUAAGCACUCCGCCUGGGGAGUACGGUCGCAAGACUGAAACUCAAAGGAAUUGACGGGGGCCCGCACAAGCGGUGGAGCAUGUGGUUUAAUUCGAAGCAACGCGAAGAACCUUACCAGGUCUUGACAUCCUCUGACAAUCCUAGAGAUAGGACGUCCCCUUCGGGGGCAGAGUGACAGGUGGUGCAUGGUUGUCGUCAGCUCGUGUCGUGAGAUGUUGGGUUAAGUCCCGCAACGAGCGCAACCCUUGAUCUUUGUUGCCAGCAUUCAGUUGGGCACUCUAAGGUGACCGCCGGUGACAAAACGGAGGAAGGUGGGGAAGAAGUUCAAUCAUCAUGCCCCCUAAGAACUGGGCUAAACACGUGCCAAAUUUGUUACAGAACAAGGGCAGCGAAACUGCCAGGUUAAACCGAUCCCCCAAAUUGUUCUCAUUCGGAACCAAUCUGCAAUUGACUGCGUGAACUCGAACCCUAAUAAUCCCAAUCAGCAUGCCGC